rnacentral:lncRNA from 1 species
AUGGUUUCCAGUAAAGAGGACUAUACUUGCGCGAAGUUCUCGGGAAUGGUUUUGCUCUAAGAUUUGAGAGCUCCUUUGAGAAGCUGAAUUUUCCUUUGGAGGAUAAAUCCCGCUCUCCCCUAGACCUGAGAAUCGAAGGAAGUCCACCAGGAUUUAACAAGGGCUGGGAGGUCCUUCUCUAGGAGCCAAUGCAGUUCGAAUCUGAAAGGUCGAGUGCCCCUAUUUACAGGAUUCGUGUUGAGAAGGAUGGGACAGUGGUUCGAAGUAGGUUUAGGUAGGGCCAAAGAUAGCAAUCUAGGGAAAUGUUCCUCCCAAUUUGCUGAAUCAAGAACUUAUUAAG